UUACAUCACUUUUUUGUAACCUUUCUGUUUUUUGGCUGCAAGUAUAAUGAUUUGUCUGUCCUAUUUCCGCCUAAACUGGUUUGAUUAAUUAUUAAUUAUAUCAUCAAAGAGCUGUUUUUGUUGCUAGCAGAUCACCCUUUUUCGGAUAUUAAUUACCCGAACCCUUUUUUCGGCCUUUAGAAGCAAAUUUUGAUAUCAUUCGUACGUGCCAAGAUUAGUUAAUAGGAAACACAAUCUCCCAAAAAGCACUGAUGAAAUUCUAUCUUAACUUUAUUACGCGGAAAAAAUAACAUGGAGAUUAUUGUAGUUCUUUCAGAAAUCCUAGUGAACUUUUUUCGGCCUUUGGAAGCAAAUUUUUAUAUCGUUCGUACUUGCCAAGAUUAGUUAUUAGGAAACACUGAUGAAAUCCUAGUUAACUUUAUUUUGCGAAAAAAAAAGCAUGGAGAUUAUAUAGUUCUCUAAAAAAUCCUAGUUAACUUUUCAAAUGUAUAAUCCAAUUACGUGUGGCUUCUUGAACUUUCUCUGCAUGUCCUCUGGUUUUUUUUGUGGCUUGUUUGGUUCUAUAUUUAUUGUUUAGUAAAAUAAGCUGUAUGUUCGAGUUUGUCUUCCUAGUACCUCCUAGAGUUCCGGGUUGCUGAGUUGAUGGUGUUAUGCUGGUUUCUCAAUUUUCUUAGCGGGAUUUAAGGUAAUCAUAAUACAUAUUUAUGGCUCUAUGGUCCUUUUAUAAUUGAAUAAUCUAUUUAUUAACUUUUCUAACUUGAGUAGGAUAAUUUAAACUAUAAUUUACAAUUUAUAAUUUAUGGAUGAUUAUCAGCUAGAUUUUGUUCUUUCUGCUAUAUAUAAUCAAUUUUAUAUGUUCGUCCUCUAGUUUUAUAGGAUUCUAGUGAUCCAGAUUUAUAUAAUUCAUAAAUUACAAAUUAUAAUGUACUGAUUUGAAUUUGAUUUUUUAUUUAAUAUUUUCAUAAACUUGCUGAAUAUAAAAUUUAUUUUCAAUAGUGGCAUUUUAAACCUGUUUCUUAAUUAACAUGCCAUCCUUGGUCCACUAGUUUCAAUCCCUUAGUCUUGAUGGGACUUACUUUUCUAAGUAAUCUAGUAAAAUUACAAUUUGGUAUUCUUUAACGUGCUUCUUCUGCAGAUCAAGUGACUAGUAUUCUUUAUUGUGGCCUUGAAGAUCUUUUUUGGGUUUUGAUCCAUGCUUUUCAAAUCUUGAUGCAUUAUGCAUCCAUGAGGAUUUGGGAUUUUUUCCUGACGAUUUUUCUACACAAUCAAAGUUGGCACUAUGCACGUCGGAAUGAAAAAAACUGGUUCAGUUGCCCAUGUUGGAUUUCGUACGCGUAGGAUUUGUUGAUGUUAUGAUCCAUUAGACUUAAUAUUGUUGUCAAGUGGCUGCUCGUAUUUUGUGAUUCUUAUGAGGAGACUUUAGAUUUGCUGCUCUGCUGUUUUGAG
rnacentral:lncRNA from 1 species